rnacentral:tRNA from 1 species
GCAGGCAUAGUUUAAUGGUAGAACGUUACCUUGCCAAGGUAGAGGUGUGUGUUCGAUUCCCACUGUCUGCUCCA